rnacentral:rRNA from 1 species
UCGUCGAAGGUGGAAUCAAUAACUGGGGUGAAGUCGUAACAAGGUAGCCGUAUCGGAAGGGGCGGCUGGGUCACCUCCUUUCUAAGGAGA